rnacentral:rRNA from 1 species
CCUACGGGGGGCAGCAGUGGGGAAUAUUGGACAAUGGGGGGAACCCUGAUCCAGCCAUGCCGCGUGUGUGAAGAAGGCCCUCGGGUUGUAAAGCACUUUCAGUGAGGAAGAACGCCUGGUGGUUAAUACCCAUCAGGAAAGACAUCACUCACAGAAGAAGCACCGGCUAACUCCGUGCCAGCAGCCGCGGUAAUACGGAGGGUGCGAGCGUUAAUCGGAAUUACUGGGCGUAAAGCGCGCGUAGGUGGCUUGAUAAGCCGGUUGUGAAAGCCCCGGGCUCAACCUGGGAACGGCAUCCGGAACUGUCAAGCUAGAGUGCAGGAGAGGAAGGUAGAAUUCCCGGUGUAGCGGUGAAAUGCGUAGAGAUCGGGAGGAAUAACAGUGGCGAAGGCGGCCUUCUGGACUGACACUGACACUGAGGUGCGAAAGCGUGGGUAGCAAACAGGAUUAGAUACCCGUGUAGUC